AAAGAUCGAAUGGGGAGAUUCAUCGUCAGCGAUUUUGGUACGUGUGCGGCUCGCGAUGCCGGAGACUUCGGUCUUCAGGCACGCGUCCGCAUGUUUUUUAUUGCCUUAGUCGUCGGCGUGCACUUCUCCCCUAGUAGGACGUCGCGACCCGUUGGGUGUCGGUCUACGGCCUGGGUGGUAGCCUGUUUCGUGUUCGCUUCACGGCGUUACGCGGUUCAGACCCCCGGUUGCCCGACCGGCUGCCCGGCGGUACUCGCACGGUAUCUGGCCGCAAAUAUUUGAACUGCGUCCGGCCCGUCGCAAGCGCGGCAAGUGUUUCCCGGUUGUACGGAUCUAAUGCCGUCACCGGGCCUUGCCAGCUGUUGGUUGACGGUGUCCUGGGACUGGCUAAUAAAAUUAUGAUACCGGUCGGCGACGCUACUGCUUUGGGUACUUUCAGGACCCGUCUUGAAACACGGACCAAGGAGUCUAACAUGUGCGCGAGUCAUUGGGAACUAUGAAGCCUAAAGGCGCAAUGAAAGUGAAGGUCGGCCUUGCGCCAACCGAGGGAGGAUGGGCCGCGUCACGAUGCGGCCCCGCACUCCCGGGGCGUCUCG
rnacentral:rRNA from 1 species